UCUUCUAUUAGCACCUACAAAUUAACAGGAAAGCAAAACAUAUUUUAGUCAAGACUCUAUACAUCCAUGAACUAUUCUAACUAAGUGCAAUAUAUAUAUAGAUAUACUCAAAACCAACAUACAGAAGAAGUUCUUUGUUCUCCAUCCACCACCUUCCUUGGCCUGCCAACCUUCCUCUUCACUGAGGUACUGCUCUCUUGUUCCCCAUCCUCCUUAUUCUUCC
rnacentral:lncRNA from 1 species